rnacentral:lncRNA from 1 species
AAAAAACUGGUUAGCUCACAAAAAGUUUCUUCAGCCUUCCCCAAAUCUCUCACCAGUUGCCUACCUUCCUGGGAUAAUAAACAGAGAUGAACUCCUACUACAACUUCUCCUUUGCCGUUUGAGAGAUUUUGAACUUAUGAAGAGAAUCUAUCCAUCAUCCUUAUGUGAGGAAGAAACUAUUGGUUACUUGGGUCAAGACUUCUUGAAAUGAAAUAGUAUAAUACGGCAAAGCCCCAGAGAAGAGGUUUCACUGAAAAAGUUAAACUGAUCUCUGGCAUCAGAGAUGAAAGCUGAUGUGAAAUGAGCAUGUUUGAAGCUUUUCCUAAGGGGCUGCAGAUGUUUGCAUGCAACCUGCUGUACAUGGGUGUAAGAAAGGCCUACUUGGCCCUCCAGACCUAGUAGAUUUGCAGCGGGGACACACUGGGGUGAAGUGGUCUGUGUGACUGCCUGUGUGCUGACUGCAAAGGGAAGGCCUGAGAGGUGGGAGAGGUGCCUCUGUGUCUCAGCAGAGAGCUAAGAGUUCACCUGACCAACUAGAACAAAAGCAUGUGGCCCCCUCCACUUGUCGGUUUGCCGCUGCUUGAGAGACCCCGACAGUCCAACCUGUAUGAGUGCUGUGGGAUCCCAAAUUGUGAAUAAGCAAAAGAAAAGUAGCAAUCAUAAUCAAAGUAACUUGAGGGAUGAAGACCAAGUCGGAAACCUACACAAGUGGGACCUGCUGAGGCAGAAGUGAUGAAAGAAGCAGAGGAGAAUUUCCAGAAAAAUAUUAAUAACAUUCAAAGAGAGGCACUUAUACUCAAUCCUUCCUCCAAAAUCCUUCAGGAAUCAGAAAAUAUGAAUUCCAAAUUAAAAUAAAUCAUUAUACAAACAAACAAAAAAAGACUAUGAUUACUGUUGAGGAAGAAAUGUCACCAAUGUGAAAGAAAUAUGAAGUAUGAAAAUCAUGAGUAAAGAACUUUAGAGCAGAAUCUCCCAACUGUUGGUCUUUGCCACAUUGUGGAGCAGCUGAUGGGGUACACAUGUGCUGAAAUAUUGACUCCCCACAAGCAGUGGGUCAGCUGUGAUGGGCCUCUGGU